rnacentral:rRNA from 1 species
UAUUGCACAAUGGGCGAAAGCCUGAUGCAGCGACGCCGCGUGAGGGAAGACGGUCUUCGGAUUGUAAACCUCUGUCUUUGGGGAAGAAAUCAGACGGUACCCAAAGAGGAAGCUCCGGUUAACUACGUGCCAGCUGCCGCGGUAAUACGUAGGGAGCGAGCGUUGUCCGGAAUUACUGGGUGUAAAGGGAGCGUAGGCGGGCGAGAAAGUUGAAUGUUAAAUCUACCGGCUUAACUGGUAGCUGCGUUCAAAACUUCUUGUCUUGAGUGAAGUAGAGGCAGGCGGAAUUCCUAGUGUAGCGGUGAAAUGCGUAGAUAUUAGGAGGAACACCAGUGGCGAAGGCGGCCUGCUGGGCUUUAACUGACGCUGAGGCUCGAAAGCGUGGGGAGCAAACAGG